AUUGAACGCUGGCGGCAGGCCUAACACAUGCAAGUCGAGCGAGCGGCGGACGGGUGAGUAAUGUAUGGGGACUGCCCGAUAGAGGGGGAUAACUACUGGAAACGGUAUCUAAUACCGCAUACUAUCGGCUUCCCCUUAUGUGAUUAGCUAGUCGGUGAGGUAAUGGCUCACCUAGGCGACGAUCCCUAGCUGGUCUGAGAGGAUGAUCAGCCACACUGGGACUGAGACACGGCCCAGACGCCUACGGAGGCAGCAGUGGGGAAUAUUGCACAAUGGGCGCAAGCCUGAUGCAGCCAUGCCGCGUGUAUGAAGAAGGCCCUAGGGUUGUAAAGUACUUUCAGUAGGGAGGCGUUACCGACAGAAGAAGCACCGGCUAACUCCGUGCCAGCAGCCGCGGUAAUUC
rnacentral:rRNA from 1 species